rnacentral:tRNA from 1 species
GGAGAUGUACCCAAGUUGGUGAAGGGGCUCCCCUGCUAAGGGAGUAGGUCGGGAAACUGGCGCAAGGGUUCAAAUCCCUUCAUCUCCG